GGACCCCACUGCUAUCGGGGUGGGACUAAGCCAUGCAAGUCGAAGGUCCCCAGCUCCGGGGGCCUGGCAGACAGCUCAGUAACACGUGGCCAACCUACCCUAGGGAGGGGGAUAACCCCGGGAAACUGGGGUUAAACCCCCAUAGGCGAUGGGUUCUGGAAGGACCCAUCGCUGAAAGUGGUGCAUGGGGAUGCCCCAUGCACCAGCCCUAGGAUGGGGCUGCGGCCCAUCAUGGUUGUUGGUGGGGUAACGGCCCACCAAGCCUAUAACGGGUACGGGCCCUGGGAGGGGGAGCCCGGAGAUGGGCUCUGAGACAAGAGCCCAGGCCCUACGGGGCGCAGCAGGCGCGAAACCUCCCCAAUGCCCGAAAGGGUGAGGGGGUCACCCCGAGUGCCACCCUCGUGGUGGCUUUUGCCGGGUCUAAAAAGCCCGGCGAAUAAGGGGAGGGCAAGACGGGUGUCAGCCGCCGCGGUAAUACCCGCUCCCCGAGUGGUGGGGACUAUUACUGGGCUUAAAGCGCCCGUAGCCGGCCGGGUGUGUCCUCCGUUAAAUCCACGGGCCUAACCCGUGGGCUGCGGAGGAUACUACCCGGCUUGGGGGUGGGAGAGGGCGGCGGUAUUCCCGGGGUAGGGGUAAAAUCCUCUGAUCCCGGGAGGACCACCAGUGGCGAAGGCGGCCGCCCAGAACACGCCCGACGGUGAGGGGCGAAAGCUGGGGGAGCAAACGGGAUUAGAUACCCCCGGUAGUCCCAGCCGUAAACGAUGCGGGCUANGUGUCGGGUGGGCUACGGGCUCACCCGGUGCCGAAGGGAAACCAUUAAGCCCGCCGCCUGGGGANUACGNCCGCAAGGCUGAAACUUAA
rnacentral:rRNA from 1 species